rnacentral:rRNA from 2 species
CCCUCUGCUCAGGACGAACGCUGGCGGCGUGCCUAAUACAUGCAAGUCGAACGAACUCUGGUAUUGAUUGGUGCUUGCAUCAUGAUUUACAUUUGAGUGAGUGGCGAACUGGUGAGUAACACGUGGGAAACCUGCCCAGAAGCGGGGGAUAACACCUGGAAACAGAUGCUAAUACCGCAUAACAACUUGGACCGCAUGGUCCGAGUUUGAAAGAUGGCUUCGGCUAUCACUUUUGGAUGGUCCCGCGGCGUAUUAGCUAGAUGGUGGGGUAACGGCUCACCAUGGCAAUGAUACGUAGCCGACCUGAGAGGGUAAUCGGCCACAUUGGGACUGAGACACGGCCCAAACUCCUACGGGAGGCAGCAGUAGGGAAUCUUCCACAAUGGACGAAAGUCUGAUGGAGCAACGCCGCGUGAGUGAAGAAGGGUUUCGGCUCGUAAAACUCUGUUGUUAAAGAAGAACAUAUCUGAGAGUAACUGUUCAGGUAUUGACGGUAUUUAACCAGAAAGCCACGGCUAACUACGUGCCAGCAGCCGCGGUAAUACGUAGGUGGCAAGCGUUGUCCGGAUUUAUUGGGCGUAAAGCGAGCGCAGGCGGUUUUUUAAGUCUGAUGUGAAAGCCUUCGGCUCAACCGAAGAAGUGCAUCGGAAACUGGGAAACUUGAGUGCAGAAGAGGACAGUGGAACUCCAUGUGUAGCGGUGAAAUGCGUAGAUAUAUGGAAGAACACCAGUGGCGAAGGCGGCUGUCUGGUCUGUAACUGACGCUGAGGCUCGAAAGUAUGGGUAGCAAACAGGAUUAGAUACCCUGGUAGUCCAUACCGUAAACGAUGAAUGCUAAGUGUUGGAGGGUUUCCGCCCUUCAGUGCUGCAGCUAACGCAUUAAGCAUUCCGCCUGGGGAGUACGGCCGCAAGGCUGAAACUCAAAGGAAUUGACGGGGGCCCGCACAAGCGGUGGAGCAUGUGGUUUAAUUCGAAGCUACGCGAAGAACCUUACCAGGUCUUGACAUACUAUGCAAAUCUAAGAGAUUAGACGUUCCCUUCGGGGACAUGGAUACAGGUGGUGCAUGGUUGUCGUCAGCUCGUGUCGUGAGAUGUUGGGUUAAGUCCCGCAACGAGCGCAACCCUUAUUAUCAGUUGCCAGCAUUAAGUUGGGCACUCUGGUGAGACUGCCGGUGACAAACCGGAGGAAGGUGGGGAUGACGUCAAAUCAUCAUGCCCCUUAUGACCUGGGCUACACACGUGCUACAAUGGAUGGUACAACGAGUUGCGAACUCGCGAGAGUAAGCUAAUCUCUUAAAGCCAUUCUCAGUUCGGAUUGUAGGCUGCAACUCGCCUACAUGAAGUCGGAAUCGCUAGUAAUCGCGGAUCAGCAUGCCGCGGUGAAUACGUUCCCGGGCCUUGUACACACCGCCCGUCACACCAUGAGAGUUUGUAACACCCAAAGUCGGUGGGGUAACCUUUUAGGAACCAGCCGCCUAAGGUGGGACAGAUGAUUAGGGUGAAGUC